rnacentral:rRNA from 1 species
CCGGUAAGGUGAUAUGAACCGUUAUAACCGGCGAUACCCGAAUGGGGAAACCCAGUGUGACUCGUCACACUAUCAUUAACUGAAUCCAUAGGUUAAUGAGGCGAACCGGGGGAACUGAAACAUCUAAGUACCCCGAGGAAAAGAAAUCAACCGAGAUUCCCCCAGUAGCGGCGAGCGAACGGGGAGGAGCCCAGAGCCUGAAUCAGCAUGUGUGUUAGUGGAAGCGUCUGGAAAGGCGCGCGAUACAGGGUGACAGCCCCGUACACAAAAGCGCAUGUGCUGUGAGCUCGAUGAGUAGGGCGGGACACGUGGUAUCCUGUCUGAAUAUGGGGGGACCAUCCUCCAAGGCUAAAUACUCCUGACUGACCGAUAGUGAACCAGUACCGUGAGGGAAAGGCGAAAAGAACCCCGGCGAGGGGAGUGAAAAAGAACCUGAAACCGUGUACGUACAAGCAGUGGGAGCACAGGUUUACCUGUGUGACUGCGUACCUUUUGUAUAAUGGGUCAGCGACUUAUAUUCUGUAGCAAGGUUAACCGAAUAGGGGAGCCGGAGGGAAACCGAGUCUUAAUUGGGCGUUAAGUUGCAGGGUAUAGACCCGAAACCCGGUGAUCUAGCCAUGGGCAGGUUGAAGGUUGGGUAACACUAACUGGAGGACCGAACCGACUAAUGUUGAAAAAUUAGCGGAUGACCUGUGGCUGGGGGUGAAAGGCCAAUCAAACCGGGAGAUAGCUGGUUCUCCCCGAAAGCUAUUUAGGUAGCGCCUCGUGAAUUCAUCUCCGGGGGUAGAGCACUGUUUCGGCUAGGGGGCCAUCCCGGCUUACCAACCCGAUGCAAACUGCGAAUACCGGAGAAUGUUAUCACGGGAGACACACGGCGGGUGCUAACGUCCGUCGUGAAGAGGGAAACAACCCAGACCGCCAGCUAAGGUCCCAAAGUCAUGGUUAAGUGGGAAACGAUGUGGGAAGGCCCAGACAGCCAGGAUGUUGGCUUAGAAGCAGCCAUCAUUUAAAGAAAGCGUAAUAGCUCACUGGUCGAGUCGGCCUGCGCGGAAGAUGUAACGGGGCUAAACCAUGCACCGAAGCUGCGGCAGCGA